UACGAGGGGGGCGAGCGUUUGUUCGGAAUUAUUGGGCGUAAAGGGUGCGUAGGCGGUUUGGUAAGUCUUAUGUGAAAUCUAUGGGCUCAACUCAUAGUCUGCAUGAGAAACUGCCGGGCUUGAGUGUGGGAGAGGUGAGUGGAAUUUCCGGUGUAGCGGUGAAAUGCGUAGAUAUCGGAAGGAACACCUGUGGCGAAAGCGGCUCACUGGACCACAACUGACGCUGAUGCACGAAAGCUAGGGGAGCAAACAGG
rnacentral:rRNA from 1 species